rnacentral:rRNA from 1 species
AGUCAACAUGCCCAGGGGACGUGGAUAACCUCGGGAAACUGAGGAUAAACCGCGAUAGGUCAUUACUUCUGAAAUGGGUAAUGACUUAAACCUAUAUGGCCCCUGGAUUGGACUGCGGCCGAUCAGGCUGUUGGUGAGGUAAUGGCCCACCAAACCUGUAACCGGUACGGGCUCUGAGAGGAGGAGCCCGGAGAUGGGCACUGAGACAAGGGCCCAGGCCCUAUGGGGCGCAGCAGGCGCGAAACCUCUGCAAUAGGCGAAAGCUUGACAGGGUUACUCUGAGUGAUUUCCGUUAAGGAGAUCUUUUGGCACCUCUAAAAAUGGUGCAGAUUAAGGGGUGGGCAAGUCUGGCGUCAGCCGCCGCGGUAAUACCAGCACCCCGAGUGGUCGGGACGUUUAUUGGGCCUAAAGCAUCCGUAGCCGGUUCUACAAGUCUUCCGUUAAAUCCACCUGCUUAACAGAUGGGCUGCGGAAGAUACUAUAGAGCUAGGAGGCGGGAGAGGCAAGCGGUACUCGAUGGGUAGGGGUAAAAUCCGUUGAUCCAUUGAAGACCACCAGUGGCGAAGGCGGCUUGCCAGAACGCGCUCGACGGUGAGGGAUGAAAGCUGGGGGAGCAAACCGGAUUAGAUACCCGGGUAGUCCCAGCUGUAAACGAUGCAGACUCGGUGAUGAGUUGGCUUAUUGCUAACUCAGUGCCGCAGGGAAGCCGUUAAGUUUGCCGCCUGGGGAGUACGGUCGCAAGACUGAAACUUAA